rnacentral:rRNA from 1 species
AGCUAGGGUAGCAAACGGGAUUAGAGACCCCGGUAGUCCUAGCCCUAAACGAUGUAGACUUGGCGUCGGUGGUUUAAUCGCCAUCGGUGUCGUAGCUAACGCGNUAAGUCUACCGCCUGGGGACUACGGCCGCAAGGUUAAAACUCAAAGGAAUUGACGGGUCCCCGCACAAGCAGCGGAGCGUGUGGUUUAAUUCGAUGCUACACGAAGAACCUUACCUGGGUUUGACAUAGAGGUAGUAGGGAAGCGAAAGCGGACCGACCCUUCGGGGAGCCUCUACAGGUGUUGCAUGGCUGUCGUCAGCUCGUGUCGUGAGAUGUUCGGUUAAGUCCGCUAACGAGCGCAACCCUCGCUGUGUGUUACAAGUGUCACACGGUACUGCCGAUAUUAAGU